GGACGUAGAAGAAUUCUUGAUGCUCCGACCUACAUGUAUCCUCUAUGAUGACUUUCCCAUGGAGUCUUACAGAUGAUCUUCCUUUGCUAUCCAGCACUAGAGGCUUGCAGCAUGGAACCGUUUUACUGGAUUGUUUUUACUUCUGGAGAAAAUAAUGAGACCUAAAAGGACUUGGCGAGCGACUGCCCUCUAUUUUAAUACAUUCACUAUUUGCACAAUUUUUUCUAAAAAUGCUAUA